rnacentral:rRNA from 1 species
UGGUUUCCUUUUUUCAGACGGGGGGUCAUGUAACCAAUUUGGGAUUCCUCUAGUAACGGGGAGUGAAGCGGUAAAAGCUCAAAUUUGAAAUCUGGUACUUUCAGCGCCCGAGAAGUAAUUACUUGAAUAUGUCUUUGUUUAGGUCCUUGAAUAUGUUCCUUGGAACAGGACGUCAUAGAGGGUGCGAAUCCCGUUUGGCGAGGAUACCUUUUAAAACUCCAUGUUUUAUCAAAUGCCGAUUUGUUUGGGAAAUUUCACAAAGAUGUCAGUAAAUUCCCUCUAAAGCUAAAAUAUUUCCAUCACCGUAUUUGUUACAAAUUGCUCUGUCGCCAAUAUUUAGAGAUCUAUGGAAAGAGAGUGAAAAAGUAAGUGAAAUUGUUGAAAGGGAAGGGCAUUUGAUCAAACAUGGUGAUUUUAAGCAUCCACUCGCCUCUCUUGGCUUUGGCUUCUCCAAAAAUUCACUGGGCCAACAUCAAUUCGGGCAGCAGGAUAAAUCAUUAAGAAUGUAGCUACUUCGGUAGUGUUAUAGCUUUUUGGAAUACUGUUAGCCGGGAUUGAGGACUGCGCUCGGCAAGGAUAAGCAUAGAACGU